rnacentral:tRNA from 1 species
ACGAGGCAGGAUUUGAGGCUGCUCACCUUACUUGUUGGCCAGUGCCAGGUG